rnacentral:rRNA from 1 species
UACGUAGGGGGCUAGCGUUGCCCGGAAUCAUUGGGCGUAAAGCGCGUGUAGGCGGUCCGGUAAGUCCGCUGUGAAAGUCGGGGGCUCAACCCUCGAAUGCCGGUGGAUACUGUCGGGCUAGAGUGCGGAAGAGGCGAGUGGAAUUCCUGGUGUAGCGGUGAAAUGCGCAGAUAUCAGGAGGAACACCAAUUGCGAAGGCAGCUCGCUGGGACGUUACUGACGCUGAGACGCGAAAGCGUGGGGAGCAAACAGG